rnacentral:lncRNA from 1 species
AUGCACAGUUCAAUGACUUCUUGCAGACACAGGAAAUCCACGCACUCAAGUCCAGCUCGAGAUGUUCCUCGGAGCUCUUCAGAGUCGGCACUGCAACACAAAGGAGCAGGCAGCCUUCCUCCAGACUCCUCUCUAGGAUUUGCCCAGGUAAUAAUCAUCGCUCAGACUCUUACAUUCCUGCUCGAAGUACCAUGUACUUGGCAGCAUUCGAGUCUUCCUACGUUUAAAGAGAAAUUCUUUAAAAAGAAUUUCCAGAAGCUGGGCGUGGUGGCACACGCCUUUAAUCCCAGCACUCGGGAGGCAGAGGCAGAGGCAGGCGGAUUUCUGAGUUCGAGGCCAGCCUGGUCUACAAAGUGAGCUCCAGGACAGCCAGGCCUAUACAGAGAAACCCUGUCUCGAAAAACAAAAAGAAAAAGAAAAAGAAAAAGAAAAAAAAAGAAGAAGAAUUUCCAGAAGAUUCGUGUUUUAGAUCACUCUUCAUACAACAAUGCGUAGUUUAUCUGGGUCCCCUACGCUGGCAUGGACAAGCCUCGUGCUGUAGGAAUACCCCAGACCGGCUUUAGGCAGAGGUCAGAUGCCUCAGAGCGCCACUUCACUGGCAAACCCACGGCUUCCGCGUAUUUCCCAGCAACCUCGGGCCAGGCUUCUGUGAGGACGGUGACGUUUGCGUGGCAAUCCUAUAAGGUCUGGGCACACAACAGUUGUCACUCCUGACCCUCCCGCUGGGAAAGACAGUGCUGGCAGAAACCUCCUGUCCAGCUGGCUGAGGAGCCACCCAAAUGUCCAGGAAGGAGGACCAGCUGGUUGGCUGUACCGGGACCAGAAUGAUGAGCCCCACAACCUGACCUUGUCACCACCGUACACUCUCAUCAGGAGCCUGCAGUUUAUUGAGUGAGAAGGAAGGGAUGGAAGCACACCAAGUAUCACACAGAAUCACAUACCCUACAUGACCUUUCUCAACAUGAAAAAUUUGCCAUGGACACAAAUGAAGAAUUGUUCUCUAGGCCUUCUGUCCCUUCUUGUGUCAUUAAGAAAUUCAAGCUCGGGCUGGUGAGAUGGCUCAGUGGGUUAGAGCACCCGACUGCUCUUCCGAAGGUCCAGAGUUCAAAUCCCAGCAACCACAUGGUGGCUAACAACCAUCCGUAACAAGAU